AUGGCCGUCCUUCCUUUCAGGCUGCGGCUGCGGCUGCGCACGGCGGCCAUUUCCGGCUUGAGCCCCUCGACUUCUGUCGUCUGUCCUAGCAGGCAGCACAGAGACGGCGGCUCCUUCUCCUGCCGUGCCGCGGCAGCAGCCGGGCGGCCGAUCAUCGUCUCCGGGGACCCGCCCACGUUCGUCUCCGCCCCCGGCCGCCGCAUUGUCGCUGUUGGCGACCUCCAUGGUGAUCUCCACCAAACGAGGGCUGCACUGGUGAUGGCCGGUGUCCUGAGCGCGGAAUCAGAUUGUCAUGUGUGGACAGGCGGGCAGACGGUUCUGGUUCAAGUUGGGGAUAUCCUUGACCGUGGAGAAGAUGAAAUUGCAAUACUGUCCCUGUUGAGUUCACUCAAUGUGCAAGCAAAAUCUCAAGGCGGUGCUGUGUUUCAGGUAAACGGAAAUCAUGAAACAAUGAAUGUGGAAGGCGAUUUCCGGUACGUCGAUCCAGGAUCAUUUGAUGAGUGUAUACGCUUCCUGGAAUACUUGGAGGAAUUUGAUGGCGAGUGGGAUGAUGCUUUCCUCAACUGGGUUAAUGUUUCUCAAAGGUGGAAGGAAGAAUAUCGGGUGUCGCCUAAUGGUGACUGGCUUCCUUUGAACUUUGUCAAGAAAAAUAAAGGGUUUGCUGCAAGAGCAUCACUUUUUAAGCAAGGUGGACCAUUAGCUUGCGAAUUGGCACGACAUCCUGUUGUCCUGAAUGUCAAUGACUGGAUGUUUUGCCAUGGUGGUCUUCUUCCCCAUCAUGUUCAAUACGGGAUUGAACGCAUCAACAAGGAAGUAUCGAAUUGGAUGCAAUGUUCAAGUGAAGACAGCGAUGAUACCGAUCUCCCCUUCAUAGCUACCAGAGGAUAUGACAGUGUAGUAUGGACUCGUUUGUACUCUCAAGAUUCAGUUGAAAGGACACAGCGUUCUUGGGAUCUAUCUUCUAUUGUCGCUGAACAAACAUUGAAAUCUGUUGGAGCUAAAGGAAUGGUCGUCGGACACACUCCCCAGACUCGUGGAGUGAACUGCAAAUGCGAUGGUAAAGUUUGGUGUAUUGAUGUGGGCAUGUCUUAUGGUGUACUGCAUUCGAGACCAGAGGUCCUAGAAAUAGUCAAUGACAGACCAAGAGUUCUAAAGGGCCAGAGGGACUCAUACGAUGAGAUGGAAGUGCUGGACUAUUUAUGA
rnacentral:rRNA from 1 species